GAAAGUGGGGGACCUUCGGGCCUCAUGCUUUUGGAGCGGCCGAUGUCUGAUUAGCUAGUUGGUAGGGUAAAGGCCUACCAAGGCGACGAUCAGUAGCUGGUCUGAGAGGACGACCAGCCACACUGGAACUGAGACACGGUCCAGACUCCUACGGGAGGCAGCAGUGGGGAAUUUUGGACAAUGGGCGCAAGCCUGAUCCAGCAAUGCCGCGUGAGUGAAGAAGGCCUUCGGGUUGUAAAGCUCUUUUGUCAGGGAAGAAACGGUGCGGACUAAUAAUCUGC
rnacentral:rRNA from 1 species